rnacentral:lncRNA from 1 species
GCACAGGCAUGUCUUACAUGGCAGCAGGCAAGACAGCAUGUGCAGGGGAACUGCCCUGUAUAAAACCAUCAGAUCUCAUGACACUUACUCACUAUCACAAGAACCACGAGAACAGCAUAGGAAAAACCCCCACGGGGUCCCUCGCAUGACACAUGGGGAUUAUGGGGGCUACAAUUCAAGAUGAGAUUUGGGAGGGAGCAAAGGACAGGCAUGUGUGUGUCAGCCAGAAGAUGGAUAUAACCAGAGGUUUUCCCCCUGACAUCAAGAGAUACAGAGAGGUGAAGGUCCAGACUGUGGUGGAAUUAUGUCCAGUGACACAGAAUUUUGUGCUAGGCACUGAGAACAGAGAGCUAAAUGGAAUUGACACAGUCCUUGACAUCACAGUGCUUACCAUCUUGGCAAAAAAUAAAGAAAGAUAUAUAGACAUUUAUUUC